rnacentral:pre_miRNA from 1 species
AGUGGAAUUGCUGGGUCAUAUUAUAAUUCUGUGUUUAAUUAUUUUUGAGGAAUUACCAUACUGUUUUCCAUAGCAUGUACACCAUUUUACAUUCUUACUAGCAAU